GGUUGCCUGUGACGUCACCGGACGCGCCCGCUUCUCGCUGGAGUGCGCACCGAGCGGCAGUGACUUCGCCGCUGCUGUAGUUCCCCGGCUGGAUGCGGUGACUGGUGCCAGUGCUCAGGCGCCCGCUGCCCUUGACCUCCCGCCCCGCGAGCCCUAACUCAGCGCAGGAGGACCGGCUGCCGCCGCCGCCGCCGCCAGAGCCUUGGCUGCCCAGUUGCCAGUCCUACCACGGUCGGAGGUAACCUUCCUGGCUCCAGUCACAUGGCCAGAUAAGGUGGUGUGUGUGGGCAUGAAUUAUGUGGACCACUGCAAAGAACAGAACGUGCCCGUGCCCAAGGAGCCCAUCAUCUUCAGCAAGUUUGCCAGCUCCAUCGUGGGGCCCUAUGAUGAGGUGGUCCUCCCACCACAGAGCCAGAUCCACACAACUUAAAGAUCUGCUGUCGAGUGAAUGGGGAAGUGGUCCAGAGCAGCAACACCAACCAGAUGGUAUUCAAGACAGAGGACCUGAUAGCCUGGGUGUCCCAGUUUGUUACCUUUUACCCAGGGGAUGUCAUCCUGACUGGGACCCCCCCACCUCCACCCAGGUGUCGGUGUAUUCAGGAAACCUCCUGUCUUUCUCAAGGUCUCUGAAGGUCCAGACAGCACUGAUGGCGAGCUUUGGGUCCGCACACUCUGGAAAGAAGAGAGAAGUGAAGGCUCUAGGGGGCAGCAGCCACCAGCAAACACCACUGCCUGCAGGAGCCUGGGCUGACUGGUUGGGACUCACCGAAGAUCCCUUCUUCCUGGGCGGUGGCCUGCAGGAACUGGAACAGCUGCUCUGUGUAGCCCAACUCUGCAGAAGAGAGAAGACCUAGACCUGGCACCCAGCACAGACACAGCCUGCCUCGAGGACUGCAAGGGAACAAGGGCCUCACCAGUAUCGGGCAGCUGGCCCUGGCGGAGGAAGGCGGCAGCCUGUGCAAAGGCCUUGAGCAGCGGGCUGAGCAGGCGGCAGAGGAAAAGAAAGAAAUCUGGGCAGUGUGACUGCUGGCUGAGCUGGAGGGGACAGGCCGGGGUGAGUGCAGCUCCCCACCGCCUCCCUACCACCUCCCUCCAGGGGCAGCUUUUUGAAACACACCCUGAAGUACCGGCCGUCAGCCUCUCCGAAGUCAUCACUGUCACUAUCAGUAAAGUCCCCACUCGGUUUCCACAGCA
rnacentral:lncRNA from 1 species